rnacentral:sRNA from 1 species
UACAAAGCCGCCUGCGCGCGCUU